CAGUCGCCGCGGUAAAACGUAGGGUGCAAGCGUUAAUCGGAAUUACUGGGCGUAAAGCGUGCGCAGGCGGUUCGCUAAGACAGGUGUGAAAUCCCCGGGCUUAACCUGGGAACUGCAUUUGUGACUGGCGGGCUAGAGUAUGGCAGAGGGGGUAGAAUUCCACGUGUAGCAGUGAAAUGCGUAGAGAUGUGGAGGAAUACCGAUGGCGAAGGCAGCCCCCUGGGCCAAUACUGACGCUCAUGCACGAAAGCGUGGGGAGCGAACAGGAUUAGAUACCCGGGUAGUCCCUGUCUCUUAUACA
rnacentral:rRNA from 1 species